rnacentral:rRNA from 1 species
UACGGGGGGAGCAAGCGUUGUUCGGAUUUACUGGGCGUAAAGGGCGCGUAGGCGGCGCAACAAGUCACUUGUGAAAUCUCCGGGCUUAACCCGGAGCGGCCAAGUGAUACUGUCGUGCUAGAGUGCGGAAGGGGCUACUGGAAUUCUCGGGUGUAGCGGUGAAAUGCGUAGAUAAUCGAGAGGAACACCUGCGGCGAAGGCGGGUAGCUGGGCCGACACUGACGCUGAGGAGCGAAAGCGUGGGGAGCGAACAGGA